rnacentral:lncRNA from 1 species
UAUGCUCUCCGACACAACCAAACAAAAAUAAACUGUCGACACAAACAUAUAACAAUAUAGAGAUAAACUGAAACCUUCCCAUACAAAGGAUCAAAAUAAACACCUGACAUGAGAAUAAACCUCAUCACACCAAACUCCACCUCCACCUCCGAAGUCUCCGCAUAGACCAUUUUAGAGUCAAACCCAUACCAUAUACAAAGAGCAGAAAAACCAUUAAGAGCCAUAUAACCAAAAAAGGAAACAUUCCACCCCUGUUGAUUCAAUUCAUCAACGCCCCCGACACCCCUCCAGCUCCUUGUCCCAAAAUGCUUCUCUGGCACAAAAAGAUACACCAAACAAGUCCCCGACAUUACCAUUAUAGUUAGUACCUCA